AGUCGAACGAAGCACUUUAUUUGAUUUCCUUCGGGACUGAUUAUUUUGUGACUGAGUGGCGGACGGGUGAGUAACGCGUGGGUAACCUGCCUUGUACAGGGGGAUAACAGUUGGAAACGGCUGCUAAUACCGCAUAAGCGCACAGCAUCGCAUGAUGCAGUGUGAAAAACUCCGGUGGUAUAAGAUGGACCCGCGUUGGGUUAGCUAGUUGGUGAGGUAACGGCCCACCAAGGCGACGAUCCAUAGCCGACCUGAGAGGGUGACCGGCCACAUUGGGACUGAGACACGGCCCAAACUCCUACGGGAGGCAGCAGUGGGGAAUAUUGCACAAUGGGCGAAAGCCUGAUGCAGCGACGCCGCGUGAGCGAAGAAGUAUUUCGGUAUGUAAAGCUCUAUCAGCAGGGAAGAUAAUGACGGUACCUGACUAAGAAGCACCGGCUAAAUACGUGCCAGCAGCCGCGGUAAUACGUAUGGUGCAAGCGUUAUCCGGAUUUACUGGGUGUAAAGGGAGCGCAGGCGGUGCGGCAAGUCUGAUGUGAAAGCCCGGGGCUCAACCCCGGUACUGCAUUGGAAACUGUCGUACUAGAGUGUCGGAGGGGUAAGCGGAAUUCCUAGUGUAGCGGUGAAAUGCGUAGAUAUUAGGAGGAACACCAGUGG
rnacentral:rRNA from 1 species